ACCCCAUUCUCCUCUGUUUAAGUGAUGAGCUUUUAUAUGGAAAAGCACUUUUCCAUCAAAAGUAAUAAAAAACACACUUCAUUUAGUACCAAAAUUUUAACUUAUUGCAAGUACUUUUGAGCAGAUGAAAAGUAGAAAAAUUUAGCUUUUCCAGCUAAAAAGUGCUUUUGGGCUGUUCUUUUACAUUUUUAGUCACACACAUUUGAGAAAGAAAUAAGGUUGGUUAUUCUCUGUUGGUGUUGGUGUUCCCGACGGUUACUUUUUUUUCUCCAAAUUUUGUUCUCUGUUGGUUCUCUGCUGGUGCUGGUGUUCCUCUGGCGCUGAUUCUUUGUUCCACUGCUGGCGCUGGUUCUUUGUUCCUCUGUUGGUGUUGGUUCUUUGUUCCUCUUCUCCACUUCUCAAAAGCCUCUGGUUCUUUGUUCCUCUUCUCUCCACCACCGAUGAGUACUUCGGUGGUUGAAGUUAGUGAUGAAAAAGUGAAAGCAAUGUAGGAUAAGAGAUUGACUGAAAUAUUUUGUGAUAUUUGUAUUAAAGAGAUAUUGAAAGGCAAUAGGCCUGGUACUCAUUUCACAAAAGAUGGAUGGUUGAAAAUAAUGACCACCUUCAAGAAAGAUACAGGCAAGGGUUUUUCACAAAGACAACUUAAAAAUAGGUGGGAUGCCCUAAAAAAAGAAUGGAAAGCUUGGAAGAAACUUAAUGGCGAAGAUACGGGUGGAAUCCUAUAAAAAGAACUGUUGAUACAUUGGAUGAUUGGUGGGAGAGUAGGCUCCAGGUAGGUUGUGCCUGAAGCUAAAAAAAUUAGAACAUCGGGCAUUGAUCCUGAAUUCGAAGCGAAGUUGGACCAAAUGUUCAUGGGGAUAGUUGCAACAGAUGAUAAAGCAUGGACACCUUCUUCUGGUACACUCCGUAGUGAUUUUUUUGAGGAUGUUAACAACGAAAUACCUGAAGAGAAUGAAGAAGAAAAUAUGAGAAAUGAUGUUCACAUUUCAAAUGAUGUUCACAUCUCAAAUGAUGUUCAAAUAUAUGGAAACGGUCAAACAAGAAAAAACCCUGAGAUAUCAAGUUCACAUUUUAAAACUGGAAGAAAGAAAUCUUCAAAGCAAAUUGGAGGGGCUGCAAAAUUGUCUAGUCAAAUAGAAAAUUAUGCAGUGCAGCUGACAAUAUGAGUCAAGCCACAUCUAGUUUGACUCCUGUUAUGGAUCCAUAUGGUAUUCCACAAGCAGUCAAAAUGCUUGACAGCAUGUCGGAAGAAGUUCCAGAAGCUAGUCCGCUAUACUUUUUCGCACUUAAAUUACUGCUCAAUAAGGACAAGCGAAUUAUGUUUUUAUCAAUUAAUCCCAAGAUUAGAGCUUUAUGGCUUAAGACGGAAAUGGAGGAUAGUUGAAAAUUUUCUAAUCUUCUAGGGUUCAAAGAUAUCUAUUAUGUGACUAGCUGACAAUGCUAAACUAGUUUUAUCAAUAGUUAUUUAUGUUUGGUUUUUGGAUAUUGAAUUUAUGUUCUACUUAUUUAUGUGUAAUCUAGUUUUAUUAAUAUUUGUUUA